rnacentral:rRNA from 1 species
UGUGAGCUCGAUGAGUAGGGCGGGACACGUGGUAUCCUGUCUGAAUAUGGGGGGACCAUCCUCCAAGGCUAAAUACUCCUGACUGACCGAUAGUGAACCAGUACCGUGAGGGAAAGGCGAAAAGAACCCCGGCGAGGGGAGUGAAAAAGAACCUGAAACCGUGUACGUACAAGCAGUGGGAGCCUCUUUUAUGGGGUGACUGCGUACCUUUUGUAUAAUGGGUCAGCGACUUAUAUUCUGUAGCAAGGUUAACCGAAUAGGGGAGCCGAAGGGAAACCGAGUCUUAACUGGGCGUUAAGUUGCAGGGUAUAGACCCGAAACCCGGUGAUCUAGCCAUGGGCAGGUUGAAGGUUGGGUAACACUAACUGGAGGACCGAACCGACUAAUGUUGAAAAAUUAGCGGAUGACUUGUGGCUGGGGGUGAAAGGCCAAUCAAACCGGGAGAUAGCUGGUUCUCCCCGAAAGCUAUUUAGGUAGCGCCUCGUGAAUUCAUCUCCGGGGGUAGAGCACUGUUUCGGCAAGGGGGUCAUCCCGACUUACCAACCCGAUGCAAACUGCGAAUACCGGAGAAUGUUAUCACGGGAGACACACGGCGGGUGCUAACGUCCGUCGUGAAGAGGGAAACAACCCAGACCGCCAGCUAAGGUCCCAAAGUCAUGGUUAAGUGGGAAACGAUGUGGGAAGGCCCAGACAGCCAGGAUGUUGGCUUAGAAGCAGCCAUCAUUUAAAGAAAGCGUAAUAGCUCACUGGUCGAGUCGGCCUGCGCGGAAGAUGUAACGGGGCUAAACCAUGCACCGAAGCUGCGGCAGCGACGCUGAUGCGUUGUUGGGUAGGGGAGCGUUCUGUAAGCCUGUGAAGGUGUGCUGUGAGGCAUGCUGGAGGUAUCAGAAGUGCGAAUGCUGACAUAAGUAACGAUAAAGCGGGUGAAAAGCCCGCUCGCCGGAAGACCAAGGGUUCCUGUCCAACGUUAAUCGGGGCAGGGUGAGUCGACCCCUAAGGCGAGGCCGAAAGGCGUAGUCGAUGGGAAACAGGUUAAUAUUCCUGUACUUGGUGUUACUGCGAAGGGGGGACGGAGAAGGCUAUGUUGGCCGGGCGACGGUUGUCCCGGUUUAAGCGUGUAGGCUGGUUUUCCAGGCAAAUCCGGAAAAUCAAGGCUGAGGCGUGAUGACGAGGCACUACGGUGCUGAAGCAACAAAUGCCCUGCUUCCAGGAAAAGCCUCUAAGCAUCAGGUAACAUCAAAUCGUACCCCAAACCGACACAGGUGGUCAGGUAGAGAAUACCAAGGCGCUUGAGAGAACUCGGGUGAAGGAACUAGGCAAAAUGGUGCCGUAACUUCGGGAGAAGGCACGCUGAUAUGUAGGUGAAGCGACUUGCUCGUGGAGCUGAAAUCAGUCGAAGAUACCAGCUGGCUGCAACUGUUUAUUAAAAACACAGCACUGUGCAAACACGAAAGUGGACGUAUACGGUGUGACGCCUGCCCGGUGCCGGAAGGUUAAUUGAUGGGGUCAGCGCAAGCGAAGCUCUUGAUCGAAGCCCCGGUAAACGGCGGCCGUAACUAUAACGGUCCUAAGGUAGCGAAAUUCCUUGUCGGGUAAGUUCCGACCUGCACGAAUGGCGUAAUGAUGGCCAGGCUGUCUCCACCCGAGACUCAGUGAAAUUGAACUCGCUGUGAAGAUGCAGUGUACCCGCGGCAAGACGGAAAGACCCCGUGAACCUUUACUAUAGCUUGACACUGAACAUUGAGCCUUGAUGUGUAGGAUAGGUGGGAGGCUUGGAAGUGUGGACGCCAGUCUGCAUGGAGCCGACCUUGAAAUACCACCCUUUAAUGUUUGAUGUUCUAACGUUGACCCGUAAUCCGGGUUGCGGACAGUGUCUGGUGGGUAGUUUGACUGGGGCGGUCUCCUCCUAAAGAGUAACGGAGGAGCACGAAGGUUGGCUAAUCCUGGUCGGACAUCAGGAGGUUAGUGCAAUGGCAUAAGCCAGCUUGACUGCGAGCGUGACGGCGCGAGCAGGUGCGAAAGCAGGUCAUAGUGAUCCGGUGGUUCUGAAUGGAAGGGCCAUCGCUCAACGGAUAAAAGGUACUCCGGGGAUAACAGGCUGAUACCGCCCAAGAGUUCAUAUCGACGGCGGUGUUUGGCACCUCGAUGUCGGCUCAUCACAUCCUGGGGCUGAAGUAGGUCCCAAGGGUAUGGCUGUUCGCCAUUUAAAGUGGUACGCGAGCUGGGUUUAGAACGUCGUGAGACAGUUCGGUCCCUAUCUGCCGUGGGCGCUGGAGAACUGAGGGGGGCUGCUCCUAGUACGAGAGGACCGGAGUGGACGCAUCACUGGUGUUCGGGUUGUCAUGCCAAUGGCACUGCCCGGUAGCUAAAUGCGGAAGAGAUAAGUGCUGAAAGCAUCUAAGCACGAAACUUGCCCCGAGAUGAGUUCU